rnacentral:tRNA from 1 species
UUCUAAGAAGUAUAUUUGUACAUCUGUUUUCCAAACAGAAAGACUAUAAAGAAAUAGCUUAGAAA